GACGAACGCUGGCGGCGUGCUUAAUACAUGCAAGUCGACUUGCUUUUGAUUAGCAAUAGUCAAAAGAGAGUGGCGCACGGGUGAGUAACACGUAGAUAAUCUACCCUCAGGACUGACAUAAUGUAGAGAAAUCUGCACUAAUAUCAGAUGAAACAAAAUCCUGGCAUCAGAGAUUUUGUCAAAGUUUUAACGCCUGAAGAUGAGUCUGCGGUCCAUUAGGUAGUUGGCGGUUUAACAGACCACCAAGCCGACGAUUGGAUAGCUGGUCUGAGAGGAUGAUCAGCCACACUGGAACUGAGACACGGUCCAGACUCCUACGGGAGCAGCAGUAAGGAAUAUUGCUCAAU
rnacentral:rRNA from 1 species